CACAUCCUUGUUCUAGGGGAGCGGCGCGUUCUAUGAUCGUUUAGUGAGCCCGUGCUGCUGACACCCAUAUGAAAGCACCCGUGCCCGACCUUAGGAGUCGAGCACAAUUUUUGGACGU